AGAGCGAACGCUGGCGGCAGGCCUAACACAUGCAAGUCGAGCGCCCCGCAAGGGGAGCGGCAGACGGGAGAGUAACACGUGGGAACGUACCCUUCAGUUCGGAACAACCCAGGGAAACUUGGGCUAAUACCGAAUACGUCCGUAAGGAGAAAGAUUUAUCGCUGAAGGAUCGGCCCGCGUCUGAUUAGCUAGUUGGUGAGGUAACGGCUCACCAAGGCGACGAUCAGUAGCUGGUCUGAGAGGAUGAUCAGCCUCACUGGGACUGAGACACGGCCCAGACUCCUACGGGAGGCAGCAGUGGGGAAUAUUGGACAAUGGGCGCAAGCCUGAUCCAGCCAUGCCGCGUGGGUGAUGAAGGCCCUAGGGUUGUAAAGCCCUUUCGGCGGGGAAGAUAAUGACGGUACCCGCAGAAGAAGCCCCGGCUAACUUCGUGCCAGCAGCCGC
rnacentral:rRNA from 1 species